rfam:Flavobacteriaceae bacterium TJ101, complete genome.
UAUCUUUGCCGCCAUACAUAAUAAUCAUUAAAUAAUAUUGGAAUG